GGAUGAUUAUCAAAGAGAUGAAGAAAAUGCUUAACAAUUGCAAAUAGUACAAUUGAUCUCAAACUUGAUAUUCGGCAUCCUUCGCUAAUACACAAUUUGAUUCAUUUUGAGUCUGCUAUCCUGACAUUAGAUAGCUAUGAUUUUUGUUCGUGUUAUAAAUUACUGUAUGUAUUCCUCUCAUUGAGAUUAUCAUUAUCAUUCUUUAAGCUGAAAGAAACUGUUGAGAAGUAGUUCACUUUUUAUGUUGAUAUAUUGCAGUAUUUGAUUCGAUACAUUGGGCAGGACACAAUAGAAACCGAA
rnacentral:misc_RNA from 1 species